rnacentral:tRNA from 1 species
GCCCGGCUAGCUCAGUCGGUAGAGCAUGAGACUUUUAAUCUCAGGGUCGUGGGUUCGAGCCUCACGUUGGGCG